GGAAGAUAGCAUGAUCACAAAGGUGGUUUUCCAGUGAGAGUCAUGGUCAUUGUACUUCAGAUGUAUUUACACAUCUGAUUUUUCCAAAUGGGAAAAAGUCAA
rnacentral:snRNA from 14 species